rnacentral:SRP_RNA from 13 species
AGGACAGGAAAGCAGCAGCCACAGUGAAG